rnacentral:rRNA from 1 species
UACGGGGGGGGCAAGCGUUGUUCGGAAUUACUGGGCGUAAAGGGCUCGUAGGUGGCCAACUAAGUCAGACGUGAAAUCCCUCAGCUUAACUGGGGAACUGCGUCUGAUACUGGAUGGCUUGAGUUUGGGAGAGGGAUGCGGAAUUCCAGGUGUAGCGGUGAAAUGCGUAGAUAUCUGGAGGAACACCAAUAGCGAAGGCAGCUCGCUGGGACGGUAUUGACGCUAAGGCGCGAAAGCGUGGGGAGCAAACAGG